rnacentral:rRNA from 1 species
CCUACGGGAGGCAGCAGUGGGGAAUAUUGCACAAUGGGGGAAACCCUGAUGCAGCGACGCCGCGUGAGUGAAGAAGUAAUUCGUUAUGUAAAGCUCUAUCAGCAGGGGAGAAAAUGACGGUACCUGAGUAAUAAGCCCCGGCUAACUCCGUGCCAGCAGCCGCUGUAAUACGUUGGGUGCACGCGUUAUCCGGAUAUACUGGGUGUAACGGGAGCGUAGACGGCAGUGCAAGUCUGGAGUGAAAGGCGGGGGCUCAACCCCCGGACUGCUCUGGAGACUGUACGGCUGGAGUGCAGGAGAGGUAAGUGGAAUUCCUGGUGUAGCGGUGAAAUGCGUAGAUAUUAGGAAGAACACCAGUGGCGAAGGCGGCUUACUGGACUGUAACUGACGUUGAGGCUCGAAAGCGUGGGGAGCAAACAGGAUUAGAUACCCGAGUAGUC